GACGAACGCUGGCGGCGUGCUUAACACAUGCAAGUCGAACGGUGAAGCGCCUUCCUUUUUGGUGGGUGUGGAUGAGUGGCGAACGGGUGAGUAACACGUGAGUAACCUGCCCCCUUCUUCUGGAUAACCGCAUGAAAGUGUGCCUAAUACGGGAUAUUCUGGGUCUGUCGCAUGAUGGGUCUGGGAAAGAUAUUGUUUCGGUGGGGGAUGGGCUCGCGGCCUAUCAGCUUGUUGGUGGGGUGAUGGCCUACCAAGGCGGUGACGGGUAGCCGGCCUGAGAGGGUGGACGGUCACACUGGGACUGAGACACGGCCCAGACUCCUACGGGAGGCAGCAGUGGGGAAUAUUGCACAAUGGGCGCAAGCCUGAUGCAGCGACGCCGCGUGAGGGAUGGAGGCCUUCGGGUUGUGAACCUCUUUCGCCAGUGAAGCAGGCCUGCCUCGUUUGUGGGUGGGUUGACGGUAGCUGGAUAAGAAGCGCCGGCUAACUACGUG
rnacentral:rRNA from 1 species